rnacentral:rRNA from 1 species
AGCAGUGGGGAGUAUUGGACAAUGGGCGAAAGCCUGAUCCAGCCAUGCCGCGUGUGUGAAGAAGGUCUUCGGAUUGUAAAGCACUUUAAGUUGGGAGGAAGGGCAUUAACCUAAUACGUUAGUGUUUUGACGUUACCGACAGAAUAAGCACCGGCUAACUCUGUGCCAGCAGCCGCGGUAAUACAGAGGGUGCAAGCGUUAAUCGGAAUUACUGGGCGUAAAGCGCGCGUAGGUGGUUUGUUAAGUUGGAUGUGAAAUCCCCGGGCUCAACCUGGGAACUGCAUUCAAAACUGACUGACUAGAGUAUGGUAGAGGGUGGUGGAAUUUCCUGUGUAGCGGUGAAAUGCGUAGAUAUAGGAAGGAACACCAGUGGCGAAGGCGACCACCUGGACUAAUACUGACACUGAGG